rnacentral:lncRNA from 1 species
UAGGUACUUACUGUUUGUUAAUAGCAGUUUGAGUGAUGACUGCAAAUGCCAGAGAUUGCUUCUGAACAAAGCUUGGAUACAAUUACAAAGUGAGGUUUUGAGAAUAAUUCCAGCUGAAAUCAUUUAUAUUGAGAGGAUGAGAACAUGGCAGCAGGAGGAAACUAUUUCUGAGAAUGGAAUAAAUGGGAGUGGAGGGGGUAUAAGAGGUCCAUCAUCCAUAGCCUCAAUGAUGAACAAGACAUCCGAAAAAUAGGAGGAUUAUUCAAGCCUCGCCCCUCACUUCCUCCUCCCUUGUGAUCGGCAAUCUCGCACUUACAGACGGUGAACCCAAUGCUGAAGCUGCUCUGAGAGUGCUGGGCCAUCUUAGGAGAGCCUGUCGUCCCACUGGUGAAAUAAAUGGCCACUGGUUCUUGACUUCCUGUUUCCACACAGCUGUGCUCUUCAGAGGCGGAUCUGCAAAAUAUGGAUGGACCCCAAGAUGGUGGUGUAAGAUGGCCAGUUUAACUCUGAUAUUUCUUCUGC